GGAAGUUCCUGGGAUUUUCAUGGACUUUUGUGAACCUGGCGAUAAUUUUACACGACUCCUGCACCAUGAAUCGGAAAACUACUCACGAAAACCAAUCUAAUCUUCUCUGCGGACUGUUUGAAAAGCCUCUUGUCAUAGAAGUUCCUGGGUUUUUCAUGGACUUUCGUGAACCUGGUGAUAGUUUUGCACGACUCCUGCGCCAUGAAUCGAAGAACUACCCACGAAAAACCAGGCUAAUCUUCUCUGCGGACUGUUUGAAAAGCCUCUUGUCGUAGAAGUUCCUAGGUUUUUCAUGGACUUUCGUGAACCUGGUGAUAGUUUUGCACGACUCCUGUGCCAUGAAUCGAAGAACUACCCACGAAAAACCAGGCUAAUCUUCUCUGCGGACUGUUUGAAAAGCCUCUUGUCGUAGAAGUUCCUAGGUUUUUCAUGGACUUUCGUGAACCUGGUGAUAGUUUUGCACGACUCCUGCGCCAUGAAUCGAAGAACUACCCACGAAAAACCAGGCUAAUCUUCUCUGCGGACUUAGAAAAGCCUCUCGUCAUAGAAGUUCCUGGGAUUUUCAUGG